rnacentral:rRNA from 1 species
UACAGAGACUGCAAGCGUUAUUCGGAUUCACUGGGCGUAAAGGGUGCGCAGGCGGCCGAGUAUGUGAGGCGUGAAAGCCCGGGGCUCAACCCCGGGUCUGCCAUGCCGACUGUCAGGCUAGAGGUAGGUAGGGGCAAGCGGAAUUCCUGGUGUAGCGGUGAAAUGCGCAGAUAUCAGGAGGAACACCGGUGGCGAAGGCGGCUUGCUGGGCCUUACCUGACGCUGAGGAGCGAAAGCGUGGGGAGCGAACAGG